rnacentral:rRNA from 1 species
CGCUGGCGGCGUGCCUAAUACAUGCAAGUCGAACGGUCUUUCUAUGGAAGCUUGCUUCCACUGAGAAGAUAGUGGCGAACGGGUGAGUAACACGUGGGUAACCUGCCCAUAAGAGGGGGGAUAACAUCCGGAAACGGGUGCUAAUACCGCAUAGUUUUCUUGAUCGCAUGAUUGAGAAAGGAAAGACGGCCUUUGUGCUGUCGCUUAUGGAUGGACCCGCGGCGUAUUAGUUAGUUGGUGAGGUAAUGGCUCACCAAGACGAUGAUACGUAGCCGACCUGAGAGGGUGAUCGGCCACAUUGGGACUGAGACACGGCCCAAACUCCUACGGGAGGCAGCAGUAGGGAAUCUUCCGCAAUGGACGAAAGUCUGACGGAGCAACGCCGCGUGAGUGAAGAAGGUUUUUCCGGAUCGUAAAACUCUGUUGUCAGAGAAGAACAAGUUGGAGAGUAACUGCUCCAGCCUUGACGGUAUCUGACCAGAAAGCCACGGCUAACUACGUGCCAGCCGCUGC